rnacentral:lncRNA from 1 species
AGCUGGAAGCUGGGCGUUGAGAGCCAAGCCGUGAACUUGUCCAGGGCCAGGCGGCUUAGAGGGAUCUGGAAGAUGGAGGCGGGGUCCAUUCUGUCGCCAGGCAGGGUCCUGGCUGGCUGUAGUGUGCGCUCACACGGUGGGGGUGGGCUGGGGCCUCUCGCGUCGCUUCUUGUGAGGGCAGCAGCCUCGUCAUGAAGCUGGCCCCCUUGCCUCGCCCUACUCACCUCCCAAAGGCCCCACCUCUGCAUCACUGGGGUUAUGGCUUGGGCAUCCUGGGUGGACACAAUCCAGUCCACAGCACGGAGACUGAGGCAGCGGGGAGAGCAGCCAGAUGAGACACGUGGCCCUGAGCUGAUGCCUCUGGAGAUGCUCUGAGGAACCAUGCAGAUGAGCUGGGAGGCUACCCCCGGGCGUGGGGGGCCGGCCGUGUGCACCCACAGACACCUCCCUCUCUCCCUCCUGCAUGCACGGGGCCUGCCCUGGGGGGUGUCAGGUCCCGGGCAUUCUGGCUGCCCUGCCCAAGGCUGAGCUAGUGUCUGUGGUGCUGGAGAGACCCUCGGGUGGAGGGGCAGAGGGAUGCAGGCUCCAUCCGACAGCCAGCCCAGAGCUGUCCCUCAUGGCUGCAGGUGAGCUCGGAGGUGCUAGGGGCAUGGUGGGGGCAUGCACCUGCCCAGUGAAUGCCCAUCGGUCCACACAUUUCCAGAGCCCCAGACAGGCCACUGGCUCCCACCCCAGGGCAUUUCACAGACCUUCCUUAGCCCUGAGGUCUGGAGCAGCAGGGGAGGGGCAGGGGCAGGCUCAGGCCUCGGGGGGUGGCUGCUGCUCAGAGGGGGCCAGGUGGAAGCCAGGCCCUGUCUGCUGCAGUAAGCAGUGGACUAGAUGUCACAAAGAAGGUUCCUGACUCAGGGUCUGCCCAGAAAUGUCACUUCACAUCCUCUCACUCCCCGCCACCAGCUCCCAGCUGACCAUGGCCGACCCCCACUAGCCUCAGGUUGUCCAUGUGUGAAAUGGGUGGGUGGAUAUGGGGAGCUCUGGGCUCCAGAGUCAGCGGCCUGGGCAGUGGCCUCUGUCCCUCUCUGGCUGACCUCUGCGAGGCCCUCAGCUCCGAGCUUCUGCAUCCAGCGGGGCCGGUGGUUGCACCCCCAGGAGGAGGGACCCUCACCCGACGCUGGGGGCUGCCCACUCGCUGGCCCCGGCUGGCCCUGCAGCCGUGGAAGUGGGCUCUGUGGUGUUCCAGGCCUCUAAAGAAGGACUUGGGGGUCACACGUGAGCUCGCGGCUGCCUCCAGGGGCCCAGGGCCGAGCUCCUGGCUGCCCCUCAGGCUGGGCUGGAGCAGGCAGCUGUGGCUGAAGCUGCUGCAGGACCCACCUCCACUGCCCAAGCCGUGGGGCCGCGCCAGGAUCUCCAGGAGGGGUGGCUGCUCCCCUCCAGAGUCCCUCCCUGGCCCCUCCAGGAUUAGCGGAUCCAGAGCAUGGUGAACCAAGAUGGAAAUUCUGGAACGGAUUUCUCACUGUGGCCCCUCUCCCCAGGCCGUGACACGAGGCCAUGGAGGAAGGCUUGGCGCAGAGAAGGAGCAUAGACUCCUCUGGAGGAGGAAAGAGGAGGAAGAUGAGAAAGAAGGAGCAGGAG